CAUCCUGCAGACUGGAUUAUGCCAGCUUCGACCAUGCCCCCACCCUUGCACCCCGACAACAUGCACAAACACUGAUAAGAAGAAGCCGGGACGUGAGCCGGUGUGGGUGGAAAAUACCCAGUGCUCCUACCGGACGACUUGGAAUAAACCAUGCCCCGUCUGCAUCAUUUUUGACUUUUAACCCAAUAAGGACCUCACAAGAGGAAUCCUAUAUGAAGCUUCCGCGCACUCUGUUUAAGCGCCUUUUCCUUGGACACUCAACCCUGUUGGGUGUUCAACUUAGGACCGUACACGUUUAACUGUACGGGAGCAUUAACUCUGCUUUUUAUUACUGAAUAAAUAUUGAGAACUAACUUUAGUUCACCGGACUCCGUUUGCUCAUUAAUUGUUGGGUUGUACUCCACAACAAAAUUGGUAGCAGAGGAUGGUUUGAAAAAGAUCGUAAUUCAUGGGAGAGAGUUUCUAAACUAUUUUCUCCCUGACCGUAGGACAUCGGAGUGAUCGGACCGAGUGAACCAAGCGGCUUUUUGUCUUCAUACGGACCUCGGGAAUCUGAUCACAGAGAGCUCUCAACUGAAACAAAAGCCCUCUCUACCCAGGUGGCGAAAACUCUCGAGAAAGAGCCAACGGAAGGAGAGGACCAGACCGUGAAAAUAGGUGACUGGGUAAGGGUCAAGGUUCACAAGAGAAAGUGGGAUGACCCCAGGUGGACUGGACCGUACGAAGUGAAGGAGGUUACCUCACACUCGGUCCAGGUCAGAGGCAAAUCAGGAGCGCCCUGGCAUCACUUGACACAUUGUUCCCCAGCAUCUCCACCAACACGCUCCCUUGCUGAAGUAAGGAGGGACGUGGCCGAUUUGGACAAUGGAGAAGGUAGCGAUACGACUGUUAGGGGCUCCGGCCCAGCCACAGGCUUACAGACGCCCCUCCCUUAAGGAACUAGGUUUGACCAAAGAGAAGCCCCGUCCACCUCCCUAUGAGGCUGGAAACUACCCCCUGUUGACCGUAGAAAGCACCGACGAAGACUGCACGUAUGACGUCCCUCAGGUAUAAGAAGGGGGGCCAACUAUACAUAGAAUAUGUUCCACACCUAUCAGGUGUGGAAAGGGGGAUUUGUAGAGCAUUUUAUUACAGCAUUAAGGUAAAUCUGCACACUAGCUUGCUUCAGCCUAAACAACACACAGCAUUGACCCUAGCGUUAAGGUCACGUAAGUUCGCGACGAGUUACGAGAGCCCAAGGCCGAACUCAGAAGGGAGCGCCCGGUCCCAGCACACACACUGCCCUUAUCAUUGACUAGGGCAAAGGAGAGGGAGAUACACAGUAGCAUCCCAGCCGUUAGUCAAAGGCACCCCAUCCUGCAGACUGGAUUAUGCCAGCUUCGACCAUGCCCCCACCCUUGCACCCCGACAACAUGCACAAACACUGAUAAGAAGAAGCCGGGACGUGAGCCGGUGUGGGUGGAAAAUACCCAGUGCUCCUACCGGACGACUUGGAAUAAACCAUGCCCCGUCUGCAUCAUUUUUGACUUUUAACCCAAUAAGGACCUCACAAGAGGCAUCCUAUAUGAAGCUUCCGCGCACUCUGUUUAAGCGCCUUUUCCUUGGACACUCAACCCUGUUGGGUGUUCAACUUAGGACCGUACACGUUUAACUGUACAGGAGCAUUAACUCUGCUUUUUAUUACUGAAUAAAUACUGAAAACUAACUUUAGUUCACCGGACUCCGUUUGCUCAUUAAUUGUUGGGUUGUACU